rnacentral:rRNA from 1 species
AGAGUUUGAUCCUGGCUCAGAUUGAACGCUGGCGGCAUGCUUUACACAUGCAAGUCGAACGGGGUGAGGGGGCAACCUCUCACUCAGUGGCGGACGGGUGAGUAAUGCAUCGGAACGUAUCCCGUAGUGGGGGACAACCCAGCGAAAGCUGGGCUAAUACCGCAUACGCUCUACGGAGGAAAGCGGGGGACCUGAGAGGGCCUCGCGCUAGGGGGGCGGCCGAUGUCCGAUUAGCUAGUUGGUGGGGUAAUGGCCCACCAAGGCGACGAUCGGUAGCUGGUCUGAGAGGAUGAUCAGCCACACUGGGACUGAGACACGGCCCAGACUCCUACGGGAGGCAGCAGUGGGGAAUUUUGGACAAUGGGGGCAACCCUGAUCCAGCCAUGCCGCGUGCGGGAAGAAGGCCUUCGGGUUGUAAACCGCUUUUAGCCGGGAAGAAAAGGCACGGGACAAUACCCCGUGUUCUUGACGGUACCGGCGGAAUAAGCACCGGCUAACUACGUGCCAGCAGCCGCGGUAAUACGUAGGGUGCGAGCGUUAAUCGGAAUUA